AACGAACGCUGGCGGCGUGCCUAACACAUGCAAGUCGUACGAGAAAUUACGCUUCGGCGUGAGAGUAAAGUGGCGCACGGGUGAGUAACGCGUGGGUAACCUACCCUUCAUCCUGGGAUAACUCGCCGAAAGGCGUGCUAAUACCGGAUAUUGUCUCAGGGGCUCUGGUCUCUGGGAUGAAAGGUGGCCUCUUCUUGAAAGCUGCCGUUGAAGGAUGGGCCCGCGUACCAUUAGCUAGUUGGUAGGGUAACGGCCUACCAAGGCGACGAUGGUUAGCUGGUCUGAGAGGAUGAUCAGCCACACUGGAACUGAAACACGGUCCAGACUCCUACGGGAGGCAGCAGUGAGGAAUUUUGCGCAAUGGGGGAAACCCUGACGCAGCAACGCCGCGUGAGUGAAGAAGGCCUUCGGGUUGUAAAGCUCUGUCA
rnacentral:rRNA from 1 species